rnacentral:rRNA from 1 species
UACGGAGGAUGCAAGCGUUAUCCGGAAUGAUUGGGCGUAAAGCGUCCGCAGGUGGCUGUGUAAGUCUGCUGUCAAAGAGCAAAGCUCAACUUUGUAAAGGCAGUGGAAACUACACGGCUAGAGUGCGUUCGGGGCAGAGGGAAUUCCUGGUGUAGCGGUGAAAUGCGUAGAGAUCAGGAAGAACACCAGUGGCGAAGGCGCUCUGCUAGGCCGUAACUGACACUGAGGCGCGAAAGCGUGGGGAGCAAACAGG